rnacentral:rRNA from 1 species
ACAUUAGAUACCCGGGUAGUCCCAGCCGUAAACGAUGCGCGUUAGGUGUAUCGACGACCACGAGUCGUCGAGGUGCCGAAGGGAAACCGUGAAACGUGCCGCCUGGGAAGUACGGUCGCAAGGCUGAAACUUAAAGGAAUUGGCGGGGGAGCACCACAACAGGUGGAGCCUGCGGUUUAAUUGGAUUCAACACCGUAAACUCACCAGGGAAGACUGUUACAUGAAGGCCGAGAUGAAGACUCUGCUAGAUUUUCAG